CCUACGGGUGGCAGCAGUGAGGAAUAUUGGUCAAUGGACGAGAGUCUGAACCAGCCAAGUAGCGUGAAGGAUGACUGCCCUAUGGGUUGUAAACUUCUUUUAUAUGGGAAUAAAAUGUUCCACGUGUGGGAUUUUGUAUGUACCAUAUGAAUAAGGAUCGGCUAACUCCGUGCCAGCCGCCGCGGUAAUACGGAGGAUCCGAUCGUUAUCCGGAUUUAUUGGGUUUAAAGGGAGCGUAGGUGGAUUGUUAAGUCAGUUGUGAAAGUUUGGGGCUCAACCGUAAAAUUGCAGUUGAAACUGGCAGUCUUGAGUACAGUAGAGGUGGGCAGAAUUCGUGGUGUAGCGGUGAAAUGCUUAGAUAUCACGAGGAACACCGAUGGCGAAGGCAGUUCACUGGACUGCAACUGACACUGAGGCUCGAAAGUGUGGGGAUCAAACAGGAUUAGAUACCCUUGUAGUC
rnacentral:rRNA from 1 species